GGUUUACGCUACGGAAGGUUAACUGAGAUGAGGGGUUGGUAAGAGGAGAGAGUCACCAUGAGUGUCCUCCUGAAGAGGAAUCUUGUGGCUUGGCACCAGAGACUUCAUAUGGAAGAGAGACCUGAACGCUCCAGUUCCCCUUUGCUGUUCCUUCUCUUGCUGACACUACACUUGCAAUCUGAGCAGGUUUUUUUCCUUCUACGCUUUUGAAGUGGCAUGGGAAAUAGAGCAAUCUGCAGGCUCUGGGGGUUCACGUGAGAAAUACGGAGACUCAAGCGUUGCCAUUUGGGACUUGCGGUUCAUGGUCUUCGCAGUCUUGAUGGCAACAGCGUGUGCUCCCCGUGGGCCACGGUGCGUACGGC